GGGCGUUGCCUGCUCACGUGGCCUCGGGGCGGGCCUGCCUGGAGCACGUGCCUAGCGCGUCAGCACCAAGGCGCCUGCGAGGCGAGGGCGGCCCGGCCUAGGGGAAAAACGUUGAGUCCGGCCGCGGCGUCCGCCGCCCCAUAUUUAGAGAGCAUGUGUCGUCCGUGACACUCUCAACCGCCGCGACCGUGGGAGGUUACGCGGCCGAGGUGGAGACGUGCAAAAGACACAAAGUAAACAGUCAGAGCAGCCCUAAUCGAGUGAAACCCUCAUCCCCUUGGCUCUUAGUAUUUAUUUUCUGAUUGGUCACGUGUAUCACAGUGAAGGCUCAAAGCCUCAGAUGCUGGAAAAAUUGUUGGGCCAUUGGGGACCCUGGACUUCAGUGUGUUCUUCCUCCAACCAGACAGCCCCAGACAAAACCUGAAGAGAAAUAUUCAUAUCUGCUCAGGUCACCAUGUAGGUAAGAUGAAAUAAUUGAAAUGCCAAGAGAAAAAAUGACUUACCCUAGGUCACUCAGUCACAGCAGCAGAAUUUGAACCCAGGUCUUCUGGUCCAGGGGCUCCAAUUUUGGACAACCUGAAUAUUCUCUUGCCAUCUAACUUCCACCUUUCCUGCUGCAAUUGCACCAGUCUCCCUCGUGGGGUGAAGGCCAGAGGGCUUGGGCUCUCCAGUCUAACAGGCCAGAAGGGGCCACCCUCUGCAGCUUUAGAUGGGAAGACCAGCAUCCGACCGAACCAAAUAAGUCAAUGAACCAAAGUUAUCAGAAACGUGUAUUUUUUCUUUUAAUAGUAAACCUCUUUACAACAAAUAUAGUGAAAGAGUUUUCAAACAAAACUCAUAAGAACUUGAGGACUUUUUUGUCUUUUCUUAUUGUGUAGAAUACCAAGAAAGCAUCACCAUACAGCACGGAAAGAAAUAUUGAAAACAAAUCAACAGCCACACACUUUCGACUCCCCUCGCCCCCAGGACCCAGUCAGAGCCAUAGGGGAGUGGGUGAUUGUCAGGUUUGGGAGUGGGGGGUAGGGUUGGGGAGAGGAUGGAAUACCUCCUUGAGUUUUCCACUCCCCUUCCUCAGACCUGGGCUGGGGAGGGACACAAGAGAAUCCAGAUUCUCCAUCAAAAAUAAUCCAGCCCCACCCAAUCCCAUCCCUCCUAUCAAUGUUUCAAGGGAGGGGGGCAGAAGGGAAAGCUAGGAGUUUCCGGAUUCUGCUCCCCACUUAUGGAACCCUAAACUCACCCCCUACCCCCCUCAAGGGAUCCUGAAGAGUCAGUUAAAAAUAUAUAGUGAUAUAGAUAUUUCUAGAUACACUUUUACAUCAUCUCUGUCUUUCCAAACAAAUAAAUAAACAGUAAGAGAA